CUUCGAUAGACAGUGCACACGCCAGGUGAGGUGCCUUGGAUAGACAGUGCACACGCCAGGUGAGGUGCCUUCGAUAGACAGUGCACACGCCAGGUGAGGUGCCUUCGAUAGACAGUGCACACGCCAGGUGAGGUGCCUUGGAUAGACAGUGCACACGCCAGGUGAGGUGCCUUCGAUAGACAGUGCACACCCCAGGUGAGGUGCCUUGGAUAGACAGUGCACACGCCAGGUGAGGUGCCUUUUCCUCACUCCACUCUCGGUUGUCCCAGCCGUCCAUCCCGGCUGCAGAUGGCCGGUGGGAGACGCAGCCGGGAGCGCGGCCCCGUCAGCAGACCCCGCAG